rnacentral:rRNA from 1 species
CGGGGUGAGUAAUGUCUGGGAAACUGCCUGAUGGAGGGGGAUAACUGCUGGAACGGUAGCUAAUACCGCAUAACGUCGCAAGACCAAAGAGGGGGACCUUCGGGCCUCUUGCCAUCGGAUGUGCCCAGAUGGGAUUAGCUAGUAGGUGGGGUAACGGCUCACCUAGGCGACGAUCCCUAGCUGGUCUGAGAGGAUGACCAGCCACACUGGAACUGAGACACGGUCCAG